CGCGCGGAGGCGGGGGCGGCUGUCGGGCUUAGGGACAGGCGGACGCGUCCUCGAGGAGGCGAAAACGUGAGAGAAAUGACAGAAGCACACGCCAGGAGUGGGCCAGAUGCUACUCUGAGGACAUCUGUGGAAAUGGGUAAAGUCAAGUGGGGAGAGAAAAACAAGACAGAAAGGAGAGAGACUUCAAGAGGCUUGGCAAAAAAACGAGCAGAGACACAGACAGAGGCAAGCAGUGGGGACCUCUACGACAGCAAUGUAGGGAGAACACUACCACUUGGAGAAGUGGCGCAGAAAUCCGAAAACAUCUGGAACUUGAAUUUAGAGGAACUACUUAGUAGUUUCUCACACAUUAUACAUCCUAACAGAGGCCACAGCCAGCUAAAAAUCUGAAGUGAUUCCCAGCACCCUCCUAGAACUCAGGAGUAAGACACCUUGAGGCUAAAGAAUCAGUCUUGCUUCAGGACCAGCCAUGGCCCCCCGGGGAACUGCAGCUACCCUCAGCAGCACUUCCAGGGUGGAGGAGAAUCCAGUGCCCUAAAGCAGGAGUCCCCAUAGCUUCCUGGUGAGGGAGGACGCAAAACAAAGCCUCUGAAUUUCAAGCUGCAGAAGCCAGCACUUCAAGCACCUGCCUGCCUGGCUGGCCUACAUGAAUUACUGACAAAGGUCCAAGCCACACCAGAUCUUAAGAUGUCUUCUGAAUUAAGUUUCCCAAACCUGAGGUUCACGGGCCAAACAAGUUCACUGCCGUAGCAUAUGUUUGGAUUGAAUAAUAUAUUUUGGUUUUAAUUGAUUUAUUCAUAAUAAAGUUAACAUUUUUGUGUUUUUAUUUCUGCCAGUCUUUUCUGGCUUUGUUGGUUCACUUUUGCCUGUUUUAUAUGCUAGGCGAAUACUAGAUACUCCAUUUUUGUGUGACCUUUACUUUCAAAUAUAAUUUGGGAAUGUUCCUAUUUCAUUAAAUACUCUGCUAGGAAUAUUUUUGACAUAUGCUUAUCCAUACACACACACACACACACACACACACACACACCCCAUAAUUUACUUAACCAUUUCCCAUUUAAGGGAUUUUUGCUGUAUACUGACUUUUCCUUAUUAUAAAGAAUACAUAUAAUCCUAG
rnacentral:lncRNA from 1 species